rnacentral:rRNA from 1 species
AGAACGAACGCUGGCGGCAUGCCUAACACAUGCAAGUCGAACGAGACCUUCGGGUCUAGUGGCGCACGGGUGCGUAACGCGUGGGAAUCUGCCCUUAGGUUCGGAAUAACUCAGAGAAAUUUGAGCUAAUACCGGAUGAUGACGUAAGUCCAAAGAUUUAUCGCCUAGGGAUGAGCCCGCGUAGGAUUAGGUAGUUGGUGGGGUAAAGGCUCACCAAGCCGACGAUCCUUAGCUGGUCUGAGAGGAUGAUCAGCCACACUGGGACUGAGACACGGCCCAGACUCCUACGGGAGGCAGCWGUGGGGAAUAUUGGACAAUGGGCGAAAGCCUGAUCCAGCAAUGCCGCGUGAGUGAUGAAGGCCUUAGGGUUGUAAAGCUCUUUUACCCGGGAUGAUAAUGAC